rnacentral:rRNA from 1 species
CUGGCGGCGCGCUUACACAUGCACGUCGAGCGAGAAAGUGGAGCAAUCCAUGAGUAAAGCGGCGUACGGGUGAGUAACACGUGGGUAAUCUACCUCUUAGUGGGGAAUAACCCUGGGAAACCGGGGCUAAUACCGCAUAAGCCUGAGAAGGGAAAGCAGCAAUGCGCUGAGAGAGGAGCCCGCGGCCGAUUAGCUAGUUGGUGAGGUAAUGGCUCACCAAGGCGACGAUCGGUAGCCGGCCUGAGAGGGCACACGGCCACACUGGCACUGAAACACGGGCCAGACUCCUACGGGAGGCAGCAGUGGGGAAUCUUGCACAAUGGAGGCAACUCUGAUGCAGCGACGCCGCGUGAGCGAUGAAGCCCUUCGGGGUGUAAAGCUCUUUCGGCAGGAACGAUUAUGACGGUACCUGCAGAAGAAGCUGCGGCUAACUACGUGCCAGCAGCCGCGGUAAUACGUAGGCAGCGAGCGUUGUUCGGAAUUACUGGGCGUAAAGAGUGUGU